rnacentral:lncRNA from 1 species
CCAACUAUACUUCGAUAUACGAAAUAUGAUUCCUUGAAAUACAAGUCAGUGAUGAGCUAGAAUCGAAUACUGAAAUCAAAAUUGGAAGCCACGCCUCUCAGCUGCGGAAUAAUACAAACAUGGCGGACUAUACGAAGGUGUUCCGGUGUCGGGGCCUGGUGAUUGUGCAAGUGGUGCGUUGAGAUUCUACUGGAACUGAAGAAGACAGCAAUUAAUAUGUAUUUCCAUAUUCAUAAAUCUGCCUGCAUGCUGGGCAGCUGUCUACGACCAUGAAUCGACAUGUCUGUGCGGUGGGGGAAACAGGGUUCGAGGGCCUCCGACUAAAUCAAGUGUCUGUUCGGUGUCAGUUUAAUUGCAAAC